GACGAACGCUGGCGGCGUGCUUAACACAUGCAAGUCGAACGGAAAGGCCCUGCUUUUGUGGGGUGCUCGAGUGGCGAACGGGUGAGUAACACGUGAGUAACCUGCCCUUGACUUUGGGAUAACUUCAGGAAACUGGGGCUAAUACCGGAUAGGAGCUCCUGCUGCAUGGUGGGGGUUGGAACGUUUCGGAGGUUGGGGAUGGACUCGCGGCUUAUCAGCUUGUUGGUGGGGUAGUGGCUUACCAAGGCUUUGACGGGUAGCUGGCCUGAGAGGGUGAGCGGGCACAUUGGGACUGAGGUAGGGACCAGACUGCUACGGGAGGCAGCAGUGGGGAGUAUUGCACAGCGGGCGGAAGCCUGACGCGACAACGCCGCGUGCGGGAUGCCGGCCUUCGGGUUGGAAACCGCUGUGGCCUGUGACGAAGCGUGAGUGACGGUAAUGGGUAAAGAAGCACCGGCUAACUACGUG
rnacentral:rRNA from 1 species